UACGUAGGGUGCGAGCGUUGUCCGGAAUUAUUGGGCGUAAAGAGCUCGUAGGCGGCUUGGCAAGUCGGGUGUGAAAACUCCAGGCUCAACCUGGAGACGCCACCCGAUACUGCCAUGGCUAGAGUCCGGUAGGGGACCACGGAAUUCCUGGUGUAGCGGUGAAAUGCGCAGAUAUCAGGAGGAACACCGGUGGCGAAGGCGGUGGUCUGGGCCAUUACUGACGCUGAGGAGCGAAAGCGUGGGGAGCGAACAGG
rnacentral:rRNA from 1 species